AGCUUGCUCUUAUGAAGUUAGCGGCGGACGGGUGAGUAACACGUGGGUAACCUGCCCAUAAGACUGGGAUAACUCCGGGAAACCGGGGCUAAUACCGGAUAAUAUUUUGAACUGCAUGGUUCGAAAUUGAAAGGCGGCUUCGGCUGUCACUUAUGGAUGGACCCGCGUCGCAUUAGCUAGUUGGUGAGGUAACGGCUCACCAAGGCAACGAUGCGUAGCCGACCUGAGAGGGUGAUCGGCCACACUGGGACUGAGACACGGCCCAGACUCCUACGGGAGGCAGCAGUAGGGAAUCUUCCGCAAUGGACGAAAGUCUGACGGAGCAACGCCGCGUGAGUGAUGAAGGCUUUCGGGUCGUAAAACUCUGUUGUUAGGGAAGAACAAGUGCUAGUUGAAUAAGCUGGCACCUUGACGGUACCUAACCAGAAAGCCACGGCUAACUACGUGCCAGCAGCCGCGGUAAUACGUAGGUGGCAAGCGUUAUCCGGAAUUAUUGGGCGUAAAGCGCGCGCAGGUGGUUUCUUAAGUCUGAUGUGAAAGCCCACGGCUCAACCGUGGAGGGUCAUUGGAAACUGGGAGACUUGAGUGCAGAAGAGGAAAGUGGAAUUCCAUGUGUAGCGGUG
rnacentral:rRNA from 1 species